GCUGGGUAGCCUGUGUCUGUAGUCCCAGCUUCCAAGGAAGCUGAGGCAGGAAGAUCACUUAAGCCCAGGAAUUCAAGGGCAGACUUGGCAACACAGUGAGACCCUGUCUUAA
rnacentral:sRNA from 1 species